AAGGCAGUGCGCUGCCUCUAAACCAGAUCAAACCAAACACAGUCUCAGACACAACCUCUGCACAACAAUCAGCACCGUGAUCCUACAAGCUUGUCCUACAGGAUGAAACCCGGAAGAUUACUUUUGUCUGUGCCUCCUCUACCGACAAUAACUGAGUCACACGAGGACCUCUCACAUUCCAUGGAGGAAUACAUGAACUCCAUCAAAGAACUUGCCCAGCCUGCUUGUGGUCCUUUGAGGAUAUCCAGGACUCAGAGGCGUAAUGCGGGGAAGCAUGUGGGCUCUAGCCCAACUUCACGCAGCGCUUCGCGGGUUCUCCAGCCCCGCCGCGCUUCUCUGGGUCUGGAAGAGGUCAUGGUGAGCUUCAACAGUCAGGUGGACCACGGCACUAAUGACCCACUGGACUGGUUGUUUGCGCAGACACACUUACAGUCACAGGGAGAGGAUUUGCACAUGACUGACAGUGCACCUGAUGCUUUGCGGUUACUCUAAUGAGCCAAAGCGUAGAGACAUGCUGAUGGGAAGAUAAUACCGAACGAGGAAUGGAUGAACUCAAUGGAGGAUAUCAUGAACUAAACUUUUUAAUUUAUUGUCUGAACACACUUUUUGUACAAAUAUGCUAAUGUUUACAUGCUGUUAAAGUCACGCAUUUCUAUGUUGCUUUUUUAAAAUAAAAUUUAAGAA